UACUGUAGGGGGCAAGCGUUGUCCGGAUUUAUUGGGCGUAAAGAGCGUGUAGGCGGCUAGGUAGGUCCGUUGUGAAAACUCGAGGCUCAACCUCGAGACGUCGAUGGAAACCAUCUAGCUAGAGUCCGGAAGAGGAGAGUGGAAUUCCUGGUGUAGCGGUGAAAUGCGCAGAUAUCAGGAGGAACACCGAUGGCGAAGGCAGGUCUCUGGGCCACUACUGACGCUGAGAAGCGAAAGCAUGGGGAGCGAACAGG
rnacentral:rRNA from 1 species